rnacentral:rRNA from 1 species
UACGUAGGGUCCGAGCGUUGUCCGGAAUUAUUGGGCGUAAAGAGCUCGUAGGCGGUUUGUCGCGUCUGCCGUGAAAGUCCGGGGCUCAACUCCGGAUCUGCGGUGGGUACGGGCAGACUAGAGUGAUGUAGGGGAGACUGGAAUUCCUGGUGUAGCGGUGAAAUGCGCAGAUAUCAGGAGGAACACCUGUGGCGAAAGCGGCUCACUGGACCACAACUGACGCUGAGGCGCGAAAGCGUGGGGAGCAAACAGG